AUACGAAGGGUGCAAGCGUUAAUCGGAAUUACUGGGCGUAAAGCGCGCGUAGGUGGUUCAGCAAGUUGGAUGUGAAAGCCCCGGGCUCAACCUGGGAACUGCAUCCAAAACUACUGGGCUAGAGUAUGGUAGAGGGUGGUGGAAUUUCCUGUGUAGCGGUGAAAUGCGUAGAUAUAGGAAGGAACACCAGUGGCGAAGGCGACCACCUGGACUAAUACUGACACUGAGGUGCGAAAGCGUGGGGAGC
rnacentral:rRNA from 1 species